AUGCUCGCUUUGGCAGCACAUAUAAUGAAAUUAGAAUGGUACAGAGAAAAUUAGAAUGGCUCUUGCACCAGAUGACACGCAAAUUUGUGAAGCAUUCCAUAUUUUA
ensembl:snRNA U6 U6 spliceosomal RNA